rnacentral:rRNA from 1 species
UACGAAGGGGGCUAGCGUUGCUCGGAAUCACUGGGCGUAAAGCGCACGUAGGCGGCUUUCUAAGUCAGGGGUGAAAUCCUGGAGCUCAACUCCAGAACUGCCUUUGAUACUGGAGAGCUAGAGUCCGGAAGAGGUGAGUGGAACCGCGAGUGUAGAGGUGAAAUUCGUAGAUAUUCGCAAGAACACCAGUGGCGAAGGCGGCUCACUGGUCCGGUACUGACGCUGAGGUGCGAAAGCGUGGGGAGCAAACAGG